UACGUAGGGGGGCAAGCGUUGUCCGGAAUCAUUGGGCGUAAAGCGCGUGUAGGCGGCUCGAUAAGUCUGCUGUGAAAGUUCAGGGCUCAACCCUGAAAUGCCGGUGGAAACUGUCGAGCUAGAGUCCGGAAGAGGCGAGUGGAAUUCCUGGUGUAGCGGUGAAAUGCGCAGAUAUCAGGAGGAACACCAAUGGCGAAGGCAGCUCGCUGGGACGGUACUGACGCUGAGACGCGAAAGCGUGGGGAGCAAACAGG
rnacentral:rRNA from 1 species